AGUCGAGCGAACAGACGAGGAGCUUGCUCCUCUGACGUUAGCGGCGGACGGGUGAGUAACACGUGGAUAACCUACCUAUAAGACUGGGAUAACUUCGGGAAACCGGAGCUAAUACCGGAUAAUAUAUUGAACCGCAUGGUUCAAUAGUGAAAGACGGUUUUGCUGUCACUUAUAGAUGGAUCCGCGCCGCAUUAGCUAGUUGGUAAGGUAACGGCUUACCAAGGCAACGAUGCGUAGCCGACCUGAGAGGGUGAUCGGCCACACUGGAACUGAGACACGGUCCAGACUCCUACGGGAGGCAGCAGUAGGGAAUCUUCCGCAAUGGGCGAAAGCCUGACGGAGCAACGCCGCGUGAGUGAUGAAGGUCUUCGGAUCGUAAAACUCUGUUAGUAGGGAAGAACAAAUGUGUAAGUAACUAUGCACGUCUUGACGGUACCUAAUCAGAAAGCCACGGCUAACUACGUGCCAGCAGCCGCGGUAAUACGUAGGUGGCAAGCGUUAUCCGGAAUUAUUGGGCGUAAAGCGCGCGUAGGCGGUUUUUUAAGUCUGAUGUGAAAGCCCACGGCUCAACCGUGGAGGGUCAUUGGAAACUGGAAAACUUGAGUGCAGAAGAGGAAAGUGGAAUUCCAUGUGUAGCGGUGAAAUGCGCAGAGAUAUGGAGGAACACCAGUGGCGAAGGCGACUUUCUGGUCUGUAACUGACGCUGAUGUGCGAAA
rnacentral:rRNA from 1 species